UACGGGGGGAGCAAGCGUUGUUCGGAUUUACUGGGCGUAAAAGGGCGCGUAGGCGGCCAGUGCAAGUCAGUUGUGAAAUCUCCGGGCUUAACUCGGAAAGGUCAACUGAUACUGCUCGGCUAGGAGUGCGGAAGGGGCAACUGGAAUUCUUGGUGUAGCGGUGAACUGCGUAGAUAUCAAGAGGAACACCUGCGGCGAAGGCGGGUUGCUGGGCCGACACUGACGCUGAUGCGCGAAAGCUAGGGGAGCGAACGGG
rnacentral:rRNA from 1 species